GGUUGAUCCUGCCAGUAGUCAUAUGCUUGUCUCAAAGAUUAAGCCAUGCAUGUCUAAGUAUGAGAGGUUUGAAUACUCUGAAACUGCGAAUGGCUCAUUACAUCAGUAACAAUUCCUUUGAUGGUCCACUUGCUACUCGGAUACCCGUAGAAAAUCUAGAGCUAAUACGUGCACUAAGGCCCGAUCCUUCCGGGGAGAGGGCUGCAGCUAUUAGAUACAAGACCGACCGUCGGUUUCCGACGACCCCCGGUGAAUCAUGAUAGCUUUGCGAAUCGCAGGGCACCUUGUGUGCG
rnacentral:rRNA from 1 species